AUGCUGGAGGGCAUCCAAGAAGUCUUCGGUGACAAGGUGCUCGUGGAUCGGCUCGACAGCCGCACCCUGGAGCGCGACCACACCAAGAUGUUUGCGUGCUGGGUGUGGGUUUGGGACAUGUCAUUCAUCCCCACCCGUCACACGUACUGGAAGCUGCCCCAGGGAGCCGGUCGGGUGGAGGAGAUGGAGGGGUUCUCGCCGUCGGACCGCCGCGUCGCCCUCCCGCUCGGCGCGGACCGCUACGACUUGCUCAUCCACGUCGACCGCGUCGAGGAUUGGUCCCCCCGCUCCCCCAAGUCGUCGCACUCGGCUCAAAGCGGCCUACCCUCCUCCGGCUCCGACAGCGACGAUGAUCUGCCCCGUACCAUCAGUGGCACCUGGGUCAUGCACGUAGAGGACGGCCAGCCUUUGAGCCCCAUCGUCGUCAGCAGCACGUGCCCGUGGUCGACACGGGCUGCCGCGGCCUCCCUGGUGGCGGCCCUCGCCGCGACCCCGACGGCAACGGUGGGGGCGGCGGCCGACGCUCCUGGAAGGACACUCUGUUGGGCCGGGGACACGGCCACGCUGCCCAGCGUGAUCGUGGCGGGGCCAUGA
rnacentral:rRNA from 1 species